rnacentral:rRNA from 1 species
AGUGAACGCUGGCGGUAGGCCUAACACAUGCAAGUCGAACGGCAGCACAGGAGAGCUUGCCCUCUGGGUGGCGAGUGGCGGACGGGUGAGGAAUACAUCGGAAUCUGCCCAGUCGUGGGGGAUAACGUAGGGAAACUUACGCUAAUACCGCAUACGACCUACGGGUGAAAGAGGGGGAUCGCAAGACCUCUCGCGAUUGGAUGAGCCGAUGUCGGAUUAGCUAGUUGGCGGGGUAAUGGCCCACCAAGGCGACGAUCCGUAGCUGGUCUGAGAGGAUGAUCAGCCACACUGGAACUGAGACACGGUCCAGACUCCUACGGGAGGCAGCAGUGGGGAAUAUUGGACAAUGGGCGCAAGCCUGAUCCAGCCAUACCGCGUGGGUGAAGAAGGCCUUCGGGUUGUAAAGCCCUUUUGUUGGGAAAGAAAUCUUUCAGGCUAAUACCCUGGGAGGAUGACGGUACCCAAAGAAUAAGCACCGGCUAACUUCGUG